rnacentral:tRNA from 1 species
AAUAAGAUGCCUGAGCCUAAAGGACUAUUUUGAUAGAAUGGAUCAAGUAUGUAUAAUCAUACUCUUAUUA